GCGAAUGGCUCAUUAAAUCAGUUAUCGUUUAUUUGAUAGUACCUUACUACUUGGAUAACCGUGGUAAUUCUAGAGCUAAUACAUGCUAAAAACCCCAACUUCGGGAGGGGUGUAUUUAUUAGAUAAAAAACCAACGCCCUUCGGGGCUUCUUGGUGAUUCAUGAUAACUUUACGGAUCGCAUGGCCUUGCGCCGGCGACGGUUCAUUCAAAUUUCUGCCCUAUCAACUUUCGAUGGUAAGGUAUUGGCUUACCAUGGUUUCAACGGGUAACGGGGAAUUAGGGUUCGAUUCCGGAGAGGGAGCCUGAGAAACGGCUACCACAUCCAAGGAAGGCAGCAGGCGCGCAAAUUACCCAAUCCCGAUACGGGGAGGUAGUGACAAUAAAUACUGAUACAGGGCUCUUUUGGGUCUUGUAAUUGGAAUGAGUACAAUUUAAACCUCUUAACGAGGAACAAUUGGAGGGCAAGUCUGGUGCCAGCAGCCGCGGUAAUUCCAGCUCCAAUAGCGUAUAUUAAAGUUGUUGCAGUUAAAAAGCUCGUAGUUGAACCUUGGGUCUGGCUGGCAGGUCCGCCUCACCGCGUGUACUUGUCCGGCCGGGCCUUCCUUCUGGAGAACCUCAUGCCCUUUACUGGGCGUGUUGGGGACCAGGACUUUUACUUUGAAAAAAUUAGAGUGUUCAAAGCAGGCCUUUGCUCGAAUACGUUAGCAUGGAAUAAUAGAAUAGGACGUGCGGUCCUAUUUUGUUGGUUUCUAGGACCGCCGUAAUGAUUAAUAGGGACAGUCGGGGGCAUCAGUAUUCAAUUGUCAGAGGUGAAAUUCUUGGAUUUAUUGAAGACUAACUACUGCGAAAGCAUUUGCCAAGGAUGUUUUCAUUAAUCAGUGAACGAAAGUUAGGGGAUCGAAGACGAUCAGAUACCGUCGUAGUCUUAACCGUAAACUAUGCCGACUAGGGAUCGGGCGAUGUUCUUUUUCUGACUCGCUC
rnacentral:rRNA from 1 species